rnacentral:rRNA from 1 species
AUGAUGCUGGAUGGGAUGGACCGUACUUGGUUAAAAGGGCUGCCUGCCAACUCCAUCGGGUCAUGGGGUGAACUGAAGGCCCGGUUUAUCCAAAACUUUAGAGAUACAUGCAAACAACCCAUGUCGAUUGUGGAUUUAUCUGCUUGCGCCCAAGAGGAGGGUGAAUCAACGACCCAUUGGGUGCGCCGGGUCAAGGCUAUUAUACACUCAUCUGAUAACAUGAAUGCCGGCUCUGCAGUCCUGAUGCUGGAGAAAAAUUGCCCUUUCUUGCCUCUUAAGCGGAAACUAGGGCCGCUUAAACGCGAUUGCAAUGAUAUGGGGCAGCUGAUGGCGGCUCUAAUUAAAUAUGCCAACUCUGAUGGUGCCAAGGACCCUGAGUCUGAUGAUGAAAAGACGGGAAAGGGAAAGAAGAGUGGCAACGCUAAGGGUCCGCAGCAUAACCCGGCGAGUCAGGGGGGCAACAGCAAGCGCAAGGCUGAUGGUAACUCGGAUUUUGUAGCUAAUACCAAUACGCAGAACAAUGGUCAGCGUCAUAAGGGGAGGCUGCCUCCUCGGACAGAUGGAUCAGGUCCCACUCUUGAGCACUUGCUGAAUGAGCCCUGUCCAAAGCAUGGUACAAAGGAGAGGCCAUCCACUCACGUUUGGAAAGAUUGUACAAUCAUGAGGGCUUUAAAAAAUUCUAAUUUAUUCCAAAACAACCAUGGGCCAGGCGGCGACUCAGGUUCUGGUGGCGGCGGUUUUCAUGGCCCGGGUUAUGGAGGUGGCGGUUCUAAUUAUGGCUUUCAGGGUCACCAACACCAUCAAAGUAAUCAGGGUGGUUUUACCUAA